GGAGCCCAAGGGAAGGAAAGAGAGAAACAACAGGCAACGUCUCUCAGAGGUCCCUCACAGCGUAGGAUCGGGUCCUAGGAAAAGUGGAGGAGCUGCAGGAGCAGCAGAUGCGGCGAGGACUACUGGACCUGGGGAUCCUGCUACCUGGCCUGUCGCCGUCUGUGGCCCACCAGCCCCAUUAGGGCAGCAACAACGCCCAGAGGAGCCUCUCGCUUAACCAGAGGGACGCGGUUCUUCCUGAGCUCCGGGGACCUCGAGGUGGCCCUUCAAACACGUGGCAGUGUGCACCUUUGAGUCCCACAAAGCUGAGAGAACCUCAUGGUCUGUGUUACUAAACUCAGUCAUAUGCUGAAACGAUGACCUCUCCAACCCAUCA